rnacentral:rRNA from 1 species
AGCGAGAAAGUGUAGCAAUACAUGAGUACAGCGGCGCACGGGUGAGUAACACGUGGAUAACCUGCCUCAAAGUGGGGAAUAACACCGGGAAACCGGUGCUAAUACCGCAUAUUCUGACGAGGUCUGCGGAUUUCGUCAGGAAAGGAGCAAUUCGCUAUGAGAGGGGUCCGCGGCUGAUUAGCUAGUUGGUGAGGUAAUGGCUCACCAAGGCCACGAUCAGUAGCCGGUCUGAGAGGACGGUCGGCCACACUGGAACUGAGACACGGUCCAGACUCCUACGGGAGGCAGCAGUGGGGAAUUUUUCGCAAUGGGGGCAACCCUGACGAAGCAAUGCCGCGUGGAUGAUGAAGUCUCUUGGGACGUAAAAUCCUUUCGACAGGGACGAAACCGCAAGGUUGACGGUACCUGUAGAAGAAGCCCCGGCUAACUCCGUGCCAGCAGCCGCGGUAAUACGGGGGGGGCAAGCGUUG